rnacentral:lncRNA from 1 species
AGCAACUAACAGCAACAAGUCCCUUCGGGGUUCUCAUAUAAAUGCAUAUCGGGGUGGCUCAGGGGAUAACUGCCCCUUCGCUGCAGCCCAGCUAUCCUCCCAGCUGUCCUCCCAGAAUGGAGCUUCCUCGCAGGAUUGUUGUCUUCAGCUAGUGAGAGUUGUUUCCCAUGUGCCUCCUCUUCCCAUCAGACGAGCCACAACAACAGAAACUUUCAGCCCAAGCCGUUUCAUCUCAAAUUUGUCCUGAUUCUGCCUCUGUUUGCUGGUGUUGUGUAUGUACGCCACAUUGAAAAAGGAAGGUUAUUAUAGAGGACAUGCCAAUUAAAGAUGGUGUGGCAUUUUGGUAGGUGCCUUGUAAUAAUUUUCGUUCACUCCCUGG